UGUUUUAUGGGUAGUGUUCUGAUCGUGCUGCUGUCAGCCAGUUUUUUGGUGACUUAUGCCACCACACGCUUGGAGGAACGAAGAGACCCAGUAGGUUGCAACAAGUACGAAGAUGACUGCGAUUUCCCAACUGGCUGUAACUGCCCAUGGAGAGGAUUACGAUUUCCACUGGUUCGUCAAAUGUAUCACUAUAAUCGACGUCGGCACCGGUGCGACCGAGGAGGACAGUUAGGAAACUGCAAUUCAUUUAUUACCUACCAUGAGUGCAUUAGAACAUGUGUUGCGGGCAGGAGAGGCCGGUAGCGCGCCACAAAAAAAUUAACGAAAAAAUACCAAAUGUUCCAUGACUGAGUAAUAACAAAAAUUUCUCUUGAGCGAGCUCUAA